CGGACGGGUGAGUAACACGUGGGUAACCUACCUAUAAGACUGGGACAACUUCGGGAAACCGGAGCUAAUACUGGAUAAGAUAUCGAACCGCAUGGUUCGAUAGUGAAAGAUGGUUUUGCUAUNCACUUAUAGAUGGACCCGCGCCGUAUUAGCUAGUUGGUGAGGUAACGGCUCACCAAGGCAACGAUACGUAGCCGACCUGAGAGGGUGAUCGGCCACACUGGAACUGAGACACGGUCCAGACUCCUACGGGAGGCAGCAGAA
rnacentral:rRNA from 1 species